CUUUACCUGAAGCCUCCUCCUUUGGGGUCAAGGAAUUGAACUUUUCCAAAAUAUGCUUUUUCUUAAGGCCUCACGACCUGGAGUGACCGCUGGAAUCGAAGGGGAGGAAGUGGAGAAGUCUUGCGCCUGGAAACUGGUUUAAGCGAGAUCAGACUAGAUGGCAACAAAAAGCACCAGCCAAGAAAAAUCUUCUUUUGUUUGGAUGGAAAGAGGUCAGUUAACGUGAGCACAGUUAAGAAACAUAUGUGUCUUCCUUUUUUUUUCUAAAUAG